CUUCUUGCUCCGUGGGCUGGGUGGUUGCUGUGCCAAGGGGUUUUUCUGUCUGCCUCUCUUCGCCCCUUUCUGAGAUUAAAGCCCAGCCCUUGAAGCUGUCCCUGCUUGGUGGCAUGAAAAAAAGCCUGCUUUUUCCAUUCCUCCUCCCAGCUGGGUGCUCUCCGUGAUGGGAGAGCCAUUUGGGGUGAGGGACCAGCCUGAUGAGCAGUCCCUUUUAAGCAACCCCAAUUUAUGCACCACUGAACAGCCGCGGGAGGUUUCCAGCAGCUCAUCCUCCAUCCACGAUGCCAGGAGCUGUGCUUUGGAGAUGGGACGUGGAGGUGAAAUAAGGAAAUCUGGCAUGGGAUGGGGAACAUCGCCUGGCUGCGCUCUGCGAGGCUGAGCGCUCCUCUCCUGGCACGGAGCGGCCGGGCAGAUCCACGGAGAGCGAGAUGCUGCAGGAGGGAUUAACCACAAAAAAGGUUGGGCAAAACAGCACUAGGGACCUCAAAAAUAACGAUGAUGAAGAAGAAGAGGCUUGGCACGGAGCUGUGGGAUCCCCCUAAAACCCAGCUCGUCCUCGUUUGGGACGCAGUGACAAGGACGGGCAGCGAGGGGCCGCGGGGCAGGUGCAGGGCGAUGUGACAUAUGUUAAACAGCCCCGAGGAGCCUUUCAAGCCUCCCUUGUUUAAGAAAUAAAAAAAAUAAAUAAAGAAAAAAAAA